GAAAUUUAAAAAAUCAUCAAAGGCAAAUCACUGUUUCAUUAGAAAGUGAUGAUCAUUCGUUUUGACAAUAAACUUUAGCAAUAUUUACAAGUCAGUUUUGCCAUUAGAAAUCCCAGGUGUAUCUGCUCUGAAACAUUGAAUGCAGUUGUC
ensembl:ncRNA F55C12.16 ncRNA